rnacentral:rRNA from 1 species
GAUGAACGCUGGCGGCGUGCCUAAUACAUGCCAGUCGAGCGAACAGACGAGGAGCUUGCUCCUCUGACGUUAGCGGCGGACGGGUGAGUAACACGUGGAUAACCUACCUAUAAGACUGGGAUAACUUCGGGAAACCGGAGCUAAUACCGGAUAAUAUAUUGAACCGCAUGGUUCAAUAGUGAAAGACGGUUUUGCUGUCACUUAUAGAUGGAUCCGCGCCGCAUUAGCUAGUUGGUAAGGGAACGGCUUACCAAGGCAAUGAUGCGUAGCCGACCUGAGGGGGUGGUCGGCCACACUGGAACUGAGACACGAUCCAGACUCCUACGGGAGGCAGCAGUAGGGAAUCUUCCGCAAUGGGCGAAAGCCUGACGGAGCAACGCCGCGUGAGUGAUGAAGGUCUUCGGAUCGUAAAACUCUGUUAUUAGGGAAGAACAAAUGUGUAAGUAACUAUGCACGUCUUGACGGUACCUAAUCAGAAAGCCACGGCUAACUACGUG